rnacentral:rRNA from 2 species
CGAAUGCUGACAUAAGUAACGAUAAAGCGGGUGAAAAGCCCGCUCGCCGGAAGACCAAGGGUUCCUGUCCAACGUUAAUCGGGGCAGGGUGAGUCGACCCCUAAGGCGAGGCCGAAAGGCGUAGUCGAUGGGAAACAGGUUAAUAUUCCUGUACUUGGUGUUACUGCGAAGGGGGGACGGAGAAGGCUAUGUUGGCCGGGCGACGGUUGUCCCGGUUUAAGCGUGUAGGCUGGUUUUCCAGGCAAAUCCGGAAAAUCAAGGCUGAGGCGUGAUGACGAGGCACUACGGUGCUGAAGCAACAAAUGCCCUGCUUCCAGGAAAAGCCUCUAAGCAUCAGGUAACAUCAAAUCGUACCCCAAACCGACACAGGUGGUCAGGUAGAGAAUACCAAGGCGCUUGAGAGAACUCGGGUGAAGGAACUAGGCAAAAUGGUGCCGUAACUUCGGGAGAAGGCACGCUGAUAUGUAGGUGAAGUCCCUCGCGGAUGGAGCUGAAAUCAGUCGAAGAUACCAGCUGGCUGCAACUGUUUAUUAAAAACACAGCACUGUGCAAACACGAAAGUGGACGUAUACGGUGUGACGCCUGCCCGGUGCCGGAAGGUUAAUUGAUGGGGUCAGCGCAAGCGAAGCUCUUGAUCGAAGCCCCGGUAAACGGCGGCCGUAACUAUAACGGUCCUAAGGUAGCGAAAUUCCUUGUCGGGUAAGUUCCGACCUGCACGAAUGGCGUAAUGAUGGCCAGGCUGUCUCCACCCGAGACUCAGUGAAAUUGAACUCGCUGUGAAGAUGCAGUGUACCCGCGGCAAGACGGAAAGACCCCGUGAACCUUUACUAUAGCUUGACACUGAACAUUGAGCCUUGAUGUGUAGGAUAGGUGGGAGGCUUUGAAGUGUGGACGCCAGUCUGCAUGGAGCCGACCUUGAAAUACCACCCUUUAAUGUUUGAUGUUCUAACGUGGACCCGUAAUCCGGGUUGCGGACAGUGUCUGGUGGGUAGUUUGACUGGGGCGGUCUCCUCCUAAAGAGUAACGGAGGAGCACGAAGGUUGGCUAAUCCUGGUCGGACAUCAGGAGGUUAGUGCAAUGGCAUAAGCCAGCUUGACUGCGAGCGUGACGGCGCGAGCAGGUGCGAAAGCAGGUCAUAGUGAUCCGGUGGUUCUGAAUGGAAGGGCCAUCGCUCAACGGAUAAAAGGUACUCCGGGGAUAACAGGCUGAUACCGCCCAAGAGUUCAUAUCGACGGCGGUGUUUGGCACCUCGAUGUCGGCUCAUCACAUCCUGGGGCUGAAGUAGGUCCCAAGGGUAUGGCUGUUCGCCAUUUAAAGUGGUACGCGAGCUGGGUUUAGAACGUCGUGAGACAGUUCGGUCCCUAUCUGCCGUGGGCGCUGGAGAACUGAGGGGGGCUGCUCCUAGUACGAGAGGACCGGAGUGGACGCAUCACUGGUGUUCGGGUUGUCAUGCCAAUGGCACUGCCCGGUAGCUAAAUGCGGAAGAGAUAAGUGCUGAAAGCAUCUAAGCACGAAACUUGCCCCGAGAUGAGUUCUCCCUGACUCCUUGAGAGUCCUGAAGGAACGUUGAAGACGACGACGUUGAUAGGCCGGGUGUGUAAGCGCAGCGAUGCGUUGAGCUAACCGGUACUAAUGAACCGUGAG